UACGUAGGGGGCAAGCGUUGUCCGGAAUUAUUGGGCGUAAAGAGCUCGUAGGCGGCUUGUCACGUCGGAUGUGAAAGCCCGGGGCUUAACCCCGGGUCUGCAUUCGAUACGGGCAGGCUAGAGUGUGGUAGGGGAGAUCGGAAUUCCUGGUGUAGCGGUGAAAUGCGCAGAUAUCAGGAGGAACACCGGUGGCGAAGGCGGAUCUCUGGGCCAUUACUGACGCUGAGGAGCGAAAGCGUGGGGAGCAAACAGG
rnacentral:rRNA from 1 species